rnacentral:ncRNA from 7 species
UGGCAAGAUGUCGGCAUAGCU